UACGUAGGGCGCAAGCGUUGUCCGGAAUUAUUGGGCGUAAAGAGCUCGUAGGCGGCCUGUUGCGUCCGCUGUGAAAUCCCGGGGCUUAACCCCGGGCUUGCAGUGGAUACGGGCAGGCUGGAGGCAGGCAGGGGAGAACGGAAUUCCCGGUGUAGCGGUGAAAUGCGCAGAUAUCUGGAGGAACACCGGUGGCGAAGGCGGCAUUCUGGACCAUAACUGACACUGAGAGACGAAAGCCAGGGGAGCAAACGGG
rnacentral:rRNA from 1 species